rnacentral:rRNA from 1 species
AUGCUGGCGCGGGCGGGGCGUGCGGCGGAGCAGUCCAGGCCGGCGGCGGAGGCGGUGCGGGUGGUGGCGAUCGGGAAGACCAAGCCGGUGUCCCUGCUGCGGCAGCUUCGACGAGAACUACGUCCAGGAGUUUAUCACCAAGGCGCCGCAGGUGAGGCCACCUCCCCCGGAUUGGAUUGGACUAGAUUGGGUUGGGUGGCUGGAUCCCCAUCUGUUUGCUGGCUGAUUGAUUCUGCUCUGUUCUCCUGUCUUCUGCAGCUUCCAGAAGAUAUCCGGUGGCAUUUCGUCGGGCACUUGCAGAGCAACAAGGUGAAAUCUCUUGUAGGCACUCAGGAAGGUGCCAAGGAGAUGCUGGACCAAGGCAUGGAGGCAUUGCGAGCUGAAGAGCACAUAGCUGCAGAUGCUGGAGGCCGGGCCGGUGAGCCGAGGAUUGGAGGUAGCGCUGAUUGGUGUUUUGAUGAAGAGAUAGGAUGGCACUGUUUGGUGUUUUUAUGCAUUUUGGUUUGCUUGUAA